GCAUCGGUGGUUCAGUGCGGUAGAAAUGCUCGCUCGCUACGCGGGCGGCCCCGGUUCGAUUCCGGCCGAUGCA